AGUGAACGCUGGCGGCGUGCUUAACACAUGCAAGUCGAACGAGAACGGGCUAUAGCUUGCUAUAGUUGUCAGCUAAGUGGCGCACGGGUGAGUAAUGUAUAGGUAAUAUGCCUCUUACUAAGGGAUAACAAAUGGAAACGUUUGCUAAUACCUUAUACUCCUUAUUAACAGAAGUUAAUAAGGGAAAGAUUUAUUGGUAAGAGAUUAGCCUGUAUUGUAUCAGUUAGUUGUUGGGGUAAUGGCUUACCAAGACUAUGACACAUAACUGGUUUGAGAGGAUGAUCAGUCACACUGGAACUGAGACACGGUCCAGACUCCUACGGGAGGCAGCAGUGGGGAAUAUUGCACAAUGGACGAAAGUCUGAUGCAGCAACGCCGCGUGGAGGAUGACACAUUUCGGUGCGUAAACUCCUUUUAUAUGAGAAGAUAAUGACGGUAUUAUAUGAAUAAGCACCGGCUAAAUCCGUGCCAGCAGCCGCGGUAA
rnacentral:rRNA from 1 species